AUGAGGACGGACGUGAGGAGGGGCGCGGCGGCGGCGGGGAGGGACCAGUUCCCCGUCGGCAUGCGGGUCCUCGCCGUGGACGACGACCCGGUCUGCCUCAAGGUGCUCGAGACCCUCCUGCGCCGCUGCCAGUAUCACGUGACGGCGACGAAUCAGGCUGUUAUCGCGCUGAGGAUGCUGCGGGAAAACAGGGACAUGUUUGAUCUGGUUAUCAGUGAUGUGCACAUGCCAGACAUGGAUGGGUUUAAGCUUCUUGAGCUUGUGGGGCUUGAGAUGGACCUCCCUGUCAUCAUGUUAUCUGUGAAUGGAGAGACAAAAACUGUAAUGAAGGGGAUAACUCAUGGUGCUUGCGACUAUCUCCUAAAACCCGUUCGCAUCGAGGAGCUUAGGAAUAUCUGGCAGCAUGUCGUUAGAAGGAAAUUCACUACCCGUGACUCUAUUAAUCUUGAUACGUAUGAAGAGUGCAAUAAGCCACCAAGUGCGGACUCUGACUAUGUGUACGGCCAAGUUACAUGUGGGUCGCCCGACCAAAGUGGGAGGCCCAGCAAGAAGAGGAAGGAGUACCAUAGCGAGGAGGAAGACGAAGACGAGGAUAGCAGUGGUCAAGAUAACGAUGACCCUUCGGCUCCAAAGAGGCCAAGAGUUGUUUGGUCAGUUGAACUGCAUAGAAAAUUUGUCGCUGCUGUCAACCAUCUUGGAAUUGACAAAGCUGUGCCAAAAAGGAUACUCGAGCUCAUGAACGUUGAGAAACUCACUAGGGAAAAUGUUGCAAGUCACCUACAGAAAUAUAGGCUUUAUCUCCGACGGUUAAGUGCUGUGGCAUCACAACAAGCUGGCAUCGUUGCUGCCUUGGGAGGUAGAGACCCCUUUCUGCGCAUGGAUGCAUUCGAAGGACUCCAGGGUUAUCAAGCUUUCACCUCUCCUGCAGCGCUAUCAACUUUCAGUGCACAUGGAUUGCUAAAUAGUCCUAGAAACAACCAAACAGCGGUUGUGAUUCAGGGGGUGGCUACUUCCAGGUCAAUUCCGACUGGAAGUAGCAGUUGCACAACAAAUCCUUUGAUUGGUGAUGCAGCUAAGUAUCAUCUUAGCCUACCAGGAAACCAGCAUGGGAACUUGGGACAAGGUUUAGCAACAUCGCUUGGGCAGGCCCAAUUGCAACAGAAGUGGAUGAAUGAGGGCAGUGGUGAUCUGUCCACCAUCCUUUCUGGGAAUAGCCGGGGUAAUGGCAUGCCUCGCAUGCUCCCAAGUGUCACAAGCAGUCCAUUACUACCUCCAGAUCUCGUGGAGUGCACACAGGCCAAAGUAGCCAUCCAGCCAUCAGUUCGAGCUCCAUCUGCAAGUGUAGAAAUUCUCGAAGGUGCCAUUGGAGCCUCUUCUGGUCCAUUGGAGUCUCGUGUAUGCCAGCAGAGCGCUCUUCCUUCAUCUGGAUUUUCUGCAAACAUGUUGCCUGUGCAUGGUUCAUUCAACAAUAAUGGUGCUUCAUUCAGCAGCAAUGGUGCAACCAGAUUGGGUGAUGCAUUCUCAGCAAGUUUCCGUCCAACAAAUGACCUUGUGGUCGCAAGAGGUACCAAAGUGGGAGCUAGCUCCUUCGGUGGCGCGGUACAUCUGUCUCCAGAUACCGAGCAGAAGUACUUGAGCUUUGGAAGUUCAGACAGUCUGCUUGAUCCGAAGCUUAUGUGGAGCUCCUCUCACCUGCCAAGCAAUAUUAGUGCUCAUCAUUCCAUGAGCCAAAGGUCGAAUAAUUGCAGCAUCGACAGCAGCCACGGUGGCAGAAUGUUUGGACAGACAAGCGCGAGCGCCUCGACAGCUGCUCCACAAGCAAAGUUUGACAUCCUCUUCUCAGGAGACACUUCGAUGGCAAGGAAUGCGUCCGAAUCAGGCACUCAAAGGCUGCAGAGCGAGCUCAGCUCCAGCACCUGCAGCUUCGACGGUCUUCUCAAUUCCAUGAUCAAAGUGGAGAAGGACGAUGCUGCCUUCGGCGAUGAUCUGGGGUGCGACUUCUACUCGCUCGGGGCUUGCAUAUGA
rnacentral:rRNA from 1 species